rnacentral:rRNA from 1 species
UACGUAGGGUGCGAGCGUUGUCCGGAAUUAUUGGGCGUAAAGAGCUCGUAGGCGGUCUGUCGCGUCGAUCGUGAAAACUUGGGGCUUAACCCUGAGCUUGCGGUCGAUACGGGCAUGACUGGAGUUCGGCAGGGGAGACUGGAAUUCCUGGUGUAGCGGUGAAAUGCGCAGAUAUCAGGAGGAACACCGGUGGCGAAGGCGGGUCUCUGGGCCGUAACUGACGCUGAGGAGCGAAAGCGUGGGGAGCGAACAGG